UACACAGAUCAAUCUGGGUGUGUGCCAAACUCUGGGCAUUAAGAGAAGUCUAUGUGCGCCAUACCAUCCACAAACAAAUGGACUGGUUGAGAGACUCAAUGGCACAAUUCAGAGAUGUUUGAGCAAGUUGGUAGGGAACAGGCCAAGCUCGUGGGCUGAUUAUUUGGAGGCCACAAUGUUUGGUCUGCGAACCAAAAAGUAGAAAACAAACAAAUUUUCCCCAUACUUUCUGCUAUUUGGUCAUGAGGCUAGGUACCCAUGUGAGGUAGGCACUAUAAAUUUUCUAUAGCAGUAUUUUUUUUCCAAUGUGUAAGCACAAUUUCUUCUAUACUGUAGAUCAAUGAAAGUGUGGAGGAAAUGAUUGCAGAGGACUGCAUUUCUGAAUGUAUUAAAUGGCAGGACAGGUUGUACCAAAUUGUUCAGGAGAAUAUUACACAGGUGCAAAAAAAUAAGAAAGAGGAAACUUGAUCAAGGAGAGGCUGUUGUCAUGCAGGUUGGGGACAGAGUCCUGAGGCAAAACAAAAGAAGUCAACAGAGAAAGGGGGGCAAAUUGGAUCCAGAUUUUUUUAGGCCCAUACACUGUCACUAAAGUUGAUGGUAAAAGCGUAGACGUUGUGGAUGACCAUGGAAAACUAUUUCCAAGAGUAAACAUUGAUCACCUGGUACACUUUUUAGAAGAUCAUCCAACAAAAGCUCCCAAGUAUUACAAGACAUCUGGACAGGAAAAGUAGGAGGAAGACUGUGGAGCAAAAUAGGUCCAUAUAAAAUAUUUACCUGGGAUCUUGAGUGCCUCCAACCUGGAGAGAAGCUUGAGAGUGAGGUGAGCUAGUUUACACACAAUUCCUAAUAAUUCAUUUAUUUAGACUUGCAUAGCAAGCAGGUAUGCAGGAAAGGCAUUUGUCAUUGAUUCAUUUCAAAUGACAAAUCUGUGGAAUGGCAAGGCCAAUGAAAUGAAGAAGAUGAAUCUGCAGGUUUAUGAUUUGCUGGUGGGCUCUGUAAAUGAGGGUGACCACUGGACACUGCUGGUUUGUUUCACUCUGUGAUGUCUGUUG
ensembl:lncRNA